UCACCAAUGAAUAGAUGACUGGAUGUCUA
rnacentral:piRNA from 1 species